CUAUAAACCAAAUCACUGUUAGCCAGGGCACAGGACCAGAGGCGCCGGAGGCUCAUGGAUAAUGAAUGCCAAAUGCAUGUGACAAUAGACUGAUCAGAGAGCAGAACAGAAAUUUCUGAGUUGUGCUUUUAUAUAUGUAUAAACACACAGACAGGCACACACCUAUGUGUGUGCACACACUCAAGCACACACACAUGCAUGCGUAUCUCACACACACACACACACGGGUCAAGCACACAAUACAUCUUAAUGUAUAAAGGCCAGUUGUGGUCCUUGGUGCCAGACUCAGAUAACUCAUCUCUCGGUUACUUUGUCAAGACAAAGAAGCCUGUGGAUCAGAAGGAUAAAAUGGAAGAGGAAAACAAAUCAGAACCCCGUUUAGCUGGGGACACUCAUGUGGAGGAGUCACAGAUAUGACUUUGAAAUUUAGGAUGCCUUGCACUCAGCAACUAACACAGGACACAGCACACAAGGGGGCCUCAACUGAAAAAUGAAAAUCAAGGACUUAUUCCUGGGCACCAAAGGUCUGACCAACCCCUUCACUCACUAACCAGUUUCCAGUGUGACCAAGACAGAGAACACAGGACAGAAACUAGCAGGCCACCAGCUGAAGGCAAAAAGAUGAGAAAACAGAGGAUCAAGAUUACAAACCCAGUACAUUGCAGAGCCUAGACUAAAUACCAGUUUUUGUCUAUCUUUAGAAGGUAAUCAAGGGGAGCUGGGAUUAAACAGUUGCAUGAAAUAUGGAAACUAUUCUAGUCAUGGAGCAGAGCCUGGGAGCCAUACAUCUGAACAGUGUAAAAAUAAUAAGGUGGGUCUUGGCAGCUGGGAUGCAGGCGUGCAUGGACCACAGACCUUUAGGAGAUUAUCUGCUAAUCAUGGCAUGGACAUGAGCACUCAAGAGGUGUUGCCUGAAGAAUGAGAUGCUUUUUUAUGAUGCAGUAAAAGAGAGGAAAUCGCCUUGGCCUCUUGCCUUGUCCUGUGCUAAAUGGGGACACCAGGUACCAGAAAUAUUAAGAUGCUCAAGGUCAUACAUACAACUGGUAAGUAGCAGAGUCAGGAAUCAACGUCAGGCUGGUUUAUGCUUUUAACCACUGCACAUCUGCCUCUCAUCAUUUAUCAUUGUAAAGGUAGGUAUCUUGGUUCUCCCUCCUUUCAACACCAUGCUUACUCUUAACACAUGUAGGAAGACCCUUUUGCCUUUAUUUCACUCUCUCCCAGGCUCCUUCCCAUGGGAGGGAUGGCUUAUUUGAUGGGUGCCAUGGCAAGAAUGUGAAAUUCAUUGGUCCAUCCCCUUACAAUAGAUAGAGGUGAUGGGUGGCUUCCCUCAGUGCUGUUGAGUCUCUGCAAUUGUCAGGCUGAGGAGCUCUGUGAUCCUCCAUUCAAGUGGCUCCAUGAGGAUCUGUCCUGCAGACCCAAGCCUUCCUUCAAUCAGGCCCCAUCUAGACUAGAAAGGCAGGUUGUGACUCUCAUUCUGGUGUUAGCUGCAUUUACCCUCCUUCUUUGCUGAUAGGACCUCCAAUAUUUCACCUCAACUCCUAGGUCUAUUUCUCAGAAUCUGGAUGGGAAAAGCAGAAACCAGUUAGCUCUGCAAUGCACCAACAACUCCCAUCUCAAGAGUUCAAGCCCCAUUCCUGGGCGACUCCAUAAAGUCUGUCCUUCUGUCAGGUUCCCAUGCCCUAGUAUUCCCCAAAGGCCAAGAGAAAUGUUUUUACCAAUGUGUCCCGCAUGCUCCCUGAUCAGCCAGCCCCUUGCUCAGGGCACUGUCCACUCCUGGGUUCAGUCCAGCUGUUUCUUAACUCCAGCCUCACACUAUACAGAUGCAUUCUCUCCAGAGCCCUUUGCCCCAAGUCUAGACUUUAGUUCUGACUUAAUUCUUCAACACUUAGUAAGAACAGGCAGAACUAAAUGUUUAGCAGAAUGUUGGUGAGGAAUUGAGAAUAAUCAGAAAACAAAACAUGGAAAAACGAAAAAGAAAGAAACUUCAAUUGAAUACUAGGCAUUAUUGCUCCUAAUAAGCCCCCAUGGGGAAACCCUCUGGUCUCUCUUUCCUUAGACUCCCGUAUCCUUGCCUGUCACCAUAAUACAGGGGUCCCCCUACCAUGAAAGGCCUCUGGCCAUGUGCUUCUAUUUUGAAAUAUACCUUUCAAAACUUUUUGGGAACUCAAAGAAAAAGGGGAAAAAUUCCCCACCUCCAGUGCCCUCAUCUGUCCUCCCAUCAGUGUCCAAUUCACCCUCUGGCGCGCCUCACCACCCAGGCACCUCAACUGUCCUCCUGGACCAGCAAGGAGAAACAAACAAAGAACACCAAUGUUUACCGCCAUGCCAGCCAAUUCCCAUGCUGGCAGCAGCCCAGCAAAUUGUCCCCUCAGUUGGCAUUUCCCAGGCAAAGCAGUUUAUCUUCUCAUCAUCUCAACCUCACCAUUUGAGAAACAGGAGCUGGGCAUCACCUUUGUAUAACCCAAAAGUCCAUCAAAAGGCUUAUCCAAGACCAAAAGCACAGACUUCGUGCAAAAACGACUACUCGUGGGAGCAAAGGGAAAGAUUGCUGGUAGGUUUUUUUAAAAGGAGUUUGUUCCUGCUACGCAUGAUGCCAAGACACCCACAAAGGGGCUCUCUGCUUUCUGAAGUUACCAUUUUCCUCAUUUUUCAGAAGAGGAAUCCAAGGUUUAGACAAUUUAAACAAUGUAUCCAUGAUAUCCUUGCCAGUAACUGUUGAAGUAGCUAAUAGACACAAAAUUAGUCAGAAUUAUCACCACCAAACUCUGCUUGGAAGAGACAAAUCACAAGUUGCAGACUUGAUGAGAGCCUGGAUGAGUCCUGUCCCCUCAGGAGAGUACGGAGUGGAAGAGGUGGUGUCUGAGGCCUGUCUGAUGGGGUGGCCUCCAGGACUCUGAUUCUGUGCCAGUAGUGGAGUGUGUCCCUUUCACUCCUUGAAGACAAAGCCCUUCCAUACCAAGAUGUCCAUAGUCUGCAGUUAUUCACCUGACUCAGGUGAAUUCUGUCCUCUUCUUGGAGUCAAAGAUGAAGGGCCUAUGAUCUCAAGUUGAUCAUUUUGAAUUCAGAACCCAUCUUUGCCAGAGAAGCCUCAAAGGCAGCUGCUGCCUAAGAUUUCUAGUGCUUUUGUGCAAAAUUCAAUCUGUUCCCUAGGAAGAGGAACAAGGGAGAGCAAGAUACAGGGCUUGAUUUUUUUAAAGGAAAAAUUAAGAAUAAAGAGAUGUUUUUGGGUGACAUACAAAACAUGGGAAACGUGGCAUUUUUGCUUAGGUCCAACAAGAUGCAUUUCACUCCUCACAUUAUUAUGUCACCAGCGUCUCCCACCUACACCUCUCUUGACCUCUA